GACGAACCAUGCAAACGUUAUUCGGAUUCACUGGGCUUAAAGCGUGCGUAGGCGGUCUUGUUAGUCAGGUGUGAAAGCCCUCAGCUCAACUGAGGAAUUGCGCUUGAUACUGCAUGACUAGAGAAUGAUAGAGGUGGGUGGAACUGAUGGUGGAGCGGUGAAAUGCGUUGAUAUCAUCAGGAACACCAGUGGCGAAGGCGACCCACUGGGUCAUUUCUGACGCUGAGGUACGAAAGCUAAGGGUAGCGAACGGGA
rnacentral:rRNA from 1 species